AUUCCAGCUCCAAUAGCGAAUACUAAUUCUGCUGCAGUUAAAAAGCUCGUAGUUGAACUUCUGGUAGGACAGAUCCGGCCUUUGGAUGAAUGUCCAUUGUAUGCUGUGUGUCUUGUCUGGCCAUCCUUUAUGUCUUUUAGGCGUAAUCUUUCACUGUAAAAAAAUUAGAGUGUUCAAAGCAGGCUUAAGCCGUUGGAUACAUUAGCAUGGAAUAAUGAGAUAGGACCGUGGUGUUUUAUUUUGUUGGUUUGCACGCCAAGGUAAUGAUCAAUAGGGACAGUUGGGGGUAUUCGUAUUCAAUUGUCAGAGGUGAAAUUCUUGGAUUUAUGGAAGACGAACUACUGCGAAAGCAUUUACCAAGGAUGUUUUCAUCG
rnacentral:rRNA from 1 species